AGGCCUCCAGUUUUAUUGUAUUUUAUUGAACUCAAGGACUUAUUAUUUUUUACUUAGACAACAAGAUGUGACAACAGCAGGAACAAGACCAUUAUCUCUGACCAGAUUGUGCUGCCAGUACAGAGUUCACACACAGAAAAGGGAAAGUCGUCUUACUCAGGUCGGUCUUUGAUUUUCUAGAAGCUCUGCUGCCUGAAAAGCAGGCUGCAAAUAAAUAAAGUGCACUGAGAGCCCGUCGAGCAGCCAGGGCCCAGGGGAGGAGGGAAGGGGGGAGAGCAGAAGCGUGCUAACUACUCAAGGCCAGACGGUAAGGAAAGCAGGGGCAGGAACUCAGGCUGAGGACCCACCCCCCGCCAACCCCUCUGAGCCCAGCCAGCCAGAGCCAGAGACAGCUGGACUUGCUGCGCCCCUCUGUGUGGGGUGGGGCUCUCUGAGGAGAGGAGGUCUCUGAGCCAGGGCCCCUGAGGCUGUGCCCUGUCUGUGGGGAAGUGGCCUCCUAGGCCCCAGGCAGGUUGAGCUGAGCCGCUUGCCCAGGGAGGGCCAGGCACCCAGUGCGCUCAUCCUGCCCCACAGCAGCACCCCACCCCACCACACAUGCGCACACACUCGCACUCGCACACACGUUCAGUGAAGAGCUUCCCUCUUGCCAUUCUCAGGCCUUCCUCCUCCCCGCCUGGCUGGCUCAGAAAGAUGCUGGAGUCACGCAGAGGGUGACACCUGGGCUUGAAAGGGGCACAUCUGUGUGUCAGCCCCAAGGAGGCCCCUCGUCCUCCUCUCCUCUCAUGCAGCCCCGUGUUGCUCUCAUCUCUCAGAGGCUGCCCCGGAGAUCGAUGGAUGGAGUCAGCAGAGGAGAUUCUCCUGUGUGAUCCUGGGCUGAGACUGGGGACAGAGAGAUGGGGUCAUGUCCCAUCCCACCCCAGGGUUAGCCCUUCCCCCUCCUGGUUACAUCAUGUCCCACCCCACCCCUCCACCCAAACUCAGAGGCUUGUGCCACCCAACUGCUGUGGAGCCCUUGGUCAAGCCUGAGGUAGGGGUGGGGAUUGGGGAGGCCAGGCUCUGUGGGUGAGGACCUGGGCUCCCUGUGGGGGGCGGGGGGGGGGGGUGCUGGGAUUCAUCUCUCUUGCGCCAUUCUCAGCUCAGACUGUCCUCCUGGUUUUCCCUCUGACCUCUCAUACGGCUCCAACGAAAGCUGGUUCCACACCUUCCCCACCCUGGACCUCUCUCCCCCUAGGUCCCCUGGGAGCCUUGUGCUCCCCUCCCACAUCCCACUGUGCCAGGUCUUGGAGAAGCCUGGGGGUCAGCUGGGGGAGUGCAGGCCUAAGGGCAGAUUCAGCUCCACCACUUCUUAUCUGUGUGACAAGGGACAAUCCCUAUCUCCCACAGAGCCCCAGUUUCCCCAAUCCGUAGGGGAGAACAGAACCCCCUCAUGGUAUUGCUGGGAGAUCUCAGGGCCCAGAUGACAGGGUCUGUCCUUCCGCAUGCCGGAACCUGACCACUGGGCUACCUCACCUUUCAGGGCCUCUGCCUGGAAGGCCCUUCCUCUCCUCCUCCAUCAGGCCCUUCCCUCAGCUGCUCCCCAGGCAGCUCUAGGGCCAGGGGCGCCCCUGGGCAGCAAUUUGACUCUCUUGACAAGGCCAGAGAAGGGGCGGGUCACCACCUACACACAGCAGUUCCU
rnacentral:lncRNA from 1 species